rnacentral:lncRNA from 1 species
UUCAAAUUUUAUUAUAUGGUUGAGCUUCAUUUUGUUUUUUUUUUUUUUUUAAAGAUAGGUAGCACGCUAUCCGCUUCAUUUAUUUCACUUAAAAAUAAACUUCGCUAGAAAUGUGAAUCAACUAGGAUUCGAACUUGGAUCUCGGAUACCAACCACCAAGUCUUUUGCCAUUUGUUUUAGGGACGGUUGGUGUUGAGCUUCAUUUUGUUAGGGAAGGGUGAUAAAAACCUUAUAUUACUUUCGCACUAAUUAUUUUUUUUUAAAAAAUACUCUCUCUCUCUCUAUAUAUAUAUAUUUGAAGAGAAAUAAAUGGUAUAUACAUAGACACAAUAUCAAUC